rnacentral:rRNA from 1 species
GUCACACCCGUUCCCAUGCCGAACACGGAAGUUAAGCUCUCCAGCGCCGAUGGUAGUUGGGGGUUUCCCCCUGUGAGAGUAGGACGUUGCUGGGC